rnacentral:rRNA from 1 species
CGAAAGCCUGACGGAGCAACGCCGCGUGAGGGAUGAAGGCCUCUGGGCUGUAAACCUCUUUUAUCAAGGAAGAAGAUCUGACGGUACUUGAUGAAUAAGCCACGGCUAAUUCCGUGCCAGCAGCCGCGGUAAUACGGGAGUGGCAAGCGUUAUCCGGAAUUAUUGGGCGUAAAGCGUCCGCAGGCGGCCCAGAAAGUCUGCUGUUAAAACGUGGAGCUUAACUCCAUCAUGGCAGUGGAAACUGUUGGGCUUGAGUGUGGUAGGGGCAGAGGGAAUUCCCGGUGUAGCGGUGAAAUGCGUAGAUAUCGGGAAGAACACCAGUGGCGAAGGCGCUCUGCUGGGCCAUAACUGACGCUCAUGGACGAAAGCCAGGGGAGCG